CUAGGUGGCUAUAGAGAGGGGGAAACGCCUGGUCCCAUUCCGAACCCAGAAGCUAAGCCCCUCUUCGCUGAUAAUACUUAUCCUUUCAGGAUUGGAAAUGUAGGUCGUUGCCUAGU
rnacentral:rRNA from 1 species